CGGACGGGUGAGUAAUGUCUGGGAAACUGCCUGAUGGAGGGGGAUAACUACUGGAAACGGUAGCUAAUACCGCAUAACGUCGCAAGACCAAAGAGGGGGACCUUCGGGCCUCUUGCCAUCGGAUGUGCCCAGAUGGGAUUAGCUAGUAGGUGGGGUAACGGCUCACCUAGGCGACGAUCCCUAGCCGGUCUGAGAGGAUGACCAGCCACACUGGAACUGAGACACGGUCCAG
rnacentral:rRNA from 1 species